ACUGGUCUUGAGGUAAUCCUCCUGCUUCAGCCUCCAGAGUGCUAGAGUGACAGCACUCUGGUCUCUCACACCCUGGCUCUUCCUGCUUACACCGUCCCAACUCACCAGGCCCCCAUUGGACCCGUCGUCUGGGGGUUGAGUCGUGCUAUUUGUGAAAUGAUCCGGUGCUGUGGAACAGAAAGAGGAAAAAAAUCCAAGCUGGAGUCUUCACUGGGCAUCACUUACAUACAGCCAGACUUUGCAAAACUCCAAGUCUUCAGCUAGAAUAGAGGUGGCAAAUACAGCCCUCUGGGGUGAUGUUGGUUGCUCUGGCCACUCUCAGCCCAGCAGGGAACAAUCGGGCCACCCAGAGUCCCCAUUGUUAGCCCAUUAGAAUAGAUGGCUUUCAGAUGAGUGUCCCCUCCACCAUCACUCUGGCCCAGAACCCUUAAGGACCUGGGCGGGGCUCAACCUUUCCCUGGAGUGUGUGACUCACAAGGCCCCCCCACCCCCAGGCUCCCGAAACUGGAACCAGAGAGACUGAGGGAAGGUCUGGCUGGGUCCACACCUACGAAGGGCCAGCCCUGGCAGCUGGGCCUUUAGGCCUCCUCCAGGUCCCCCUGGUAGCUUAAGACUCUCAACUAUGCAGACUCAGGUGCCCAGGCCCUCCCCUCCUCCACCUUCGGGCUCUCCUAAAUUCCACAAGACUUAAGGACGCAGGAAUUCUGGGAUGCAGGUACGGGUUUACUUUACGGUAGACCGCUUGCCUAGUGUGCAGGAAAACGUAGGUUCGAGCCCCAGCAACGUUUAAAAAAAAUGAAAUAAAAAUAAAAAGUUUGGAAGUCUGUUAACCUGA